GCAGAGCUGCCAUUAUUGUCCAUCAUUACUUUCCUCUGAAUCUGAGAAGGCAGUUAAGAGUCAACCAGAUUCAUAAGUCUGGAAACACAGAGAGGUUAGAUAGGGUAAGGAUCGCAGAUUUCCUCCUCUCAAAGGCACAGAUACUCACAGGAGGACCAGCUGGACCAGGCAGACCAUCAUUGCCACGUGCUCCCUGUGAAACAAAAAGUUGUACUUACAGCUGAACCAGGUGCCCCAGGACGACCUCUCUCACCAGGUAGACCACGUGGACCCUGUCAAGAAAAGAAAGCAUCUUCUUUGAGUUCUACAGUUAACAUUUCCUGCUAGUAAAAGACACAGCAUGGAGAAGGCCCUUCCAGCCCAAUGAGCAGCCCAGCAACCCACCACAUUUAAUCCCAGUCUAAUCACAGGACAAUUUAUAAUGACGAAUUAACCUACUAACCGGUAUGUCUUUGGACUGUGGGAGGAAACCAGAGCAUCCCGAAGAAACACACGCACUUAUGGGAAGGGCAUAUGGGCUCCUUACAGAUGACAUCAGAAUUGAACUCUGAACCCUGACACCCCGAGCUGUAAUAGUGUCAUGCUAACCACUAUGCUACCAUGGCACCUCAAUACUGGCCUGUCUUAAGAUAUAGUAUGAGUACUGUAAUAUUGCUUUGUAAAUUAUUAGCAUACCUAGGCAUGUAGUAACUAAGAUGACUUUAAUGAGAUUUUGAAAUAUGAAAUAAAGA